AGCAAAGUGGGUAGCUACCCUCUCUUCUGGAAGCCCCUCUGCAGCACUCCUCUUGGGAGUAGAAAAGGAAGUGGUCAAGGUCGACCUGCAAAGCAUUUCUCGCCUGCUCUGCGGCCUCCAUUCUGCUGCACACAGACUGGUUCUCCUCCUCUAACUACUGGCCAAAAAGGGAAGGGAGUACAAGCAUCAAAGACAAAUGACCUACAUUUGGGAGCUGAUCCGUCUUGCUCUCAGUUAGGGCCCAGCCCUUCUGUGGGGACCAGGAAAAUCUUUGCUCACCUGGAGAAGCUGCUGGUUCAGCCCAACUUUAUCUAACGCCAAAGCCUCAUUUAAGGCACUGAGCUUGACAGCUGCAGCCCGAAGAUCAGCUACUUCUGUCUUCAGGGUGUUUUCAGAACUCGACAGCUCUGCAAUUGACUGCUCUGCCUAAAAAACAAAAAGGAUUAAAGAGUUUCAUAUUUCCAAUUUUCCUGGAACAGUAAACAGUUCACAUUCCCAACA
rnacentral:lncRNA from 1 species